GAUGAACGCUGGCGGCGUGCCUAAUACAUGCAAGUCGAGCGAACAGACGAGGAGCUUGCUCCUCUGACGUUAGCGGCGGACGGGUGAGUAACACGUGGAUAACCUACCUAUAAGACUGGGAUAACUUCGGGAAACCGGAGCUAAUACCGGAUAAUAUAUUGAACCGCAUGGUUCAAUAGUGAAAGACGGUUUUGCUGUCACUUAUAGAUGGAUCCGCGCCGCAUUAGCUAGUUGGUAAGGUAACGGCUUACCAAGGCGACGAUGCGUAGCCGACCUGAGAGGGUGAUAGGCCACACUAGAACUGAGACACGGUCCAGAGUCCUGAGGGAGGCAGCAGUAGGGAAUCUGCCGCAAUGGGCGAAAGCCUGACGGAGCAACGCCGCGUGAGUGAUGAAGGUCUUCGGAUCGUAAAACUCUGUUAUUAGGGAAGAACAAAUGUGUAAGUAACUAUGCACGUCUUGACGGUACCUAAUCAGAAAGCCACGGCUAACUACGUG
rnacentral:rRNA from 1 species